GACCCACUGACCGGAAGUUACCACCCUCUUCUAGGAAUUUCUGCAUACGUGCCCUUUAAUUUGCCUAUAAUUAAAAGCAGGUACAAGAGUGACUGCAGCUGUGUUUCUGAGCGGCUGUUCUGGGCACACUGCCUGCGGGGCAGCCCUGCUACCUGAGGAGCAGUAUCUCUGCUGCUGCUGCUGUGCAUGGCCGCUUGACGAGACGUUGGCAUAACCCUGAAGGGGUUAGGUAACUCUAGCUCACCCUUAAAUUUUGUCUUAUUUUAUUUACUUGUUUAUUACUUAUUUUUUGUUUUGAGACGGAGUUUUGCUCUGUUUCCCAGGCUGAAGUGCAAUGGCGGUAUCUCGGCUCACUGCAAUUUCCGCUUCCGGGGUUCAAGCGAUUCUUCUGCUUCAGCUCCUAAGUAGCUGGGAUUACAGGCAUCCGCCACCACGCCCUGCUAAUUUUUGUUGUUUUUAGUAGAGAGGGGGUUUUACCGUGUUGACAAGGCUGGUCUUGGACUCCUGACCUCAAGUGAUCCACCCACCUCAGCCUCCCACAGUGCUGGGAUGACAGGUGUGAGCCACCCCGCCCAAAUUCUUUCUUAGGCAAAGCCAAGAACUCUCCUGGGCUAUGCCCCAAUCUGGGAGUUCACCUUCCCCGCAUCAUCUAGCGACCAAGGAAAGGAUGAUGAAGACAGCGAGAGGCAGAGAGACUUUCAGCUGAGGCAGGGACAAUUAGCAGAGAGGCGAGAUGGCUGGACAGCAAAGAUGGUGACAGUCAGCGAUCCGCGGAGGGGUGGCAAUGGGUGAGAGACACGGAGAGGUGGCACUGGGCAAGACAGCGAGAGGUUGCUGAGACAGGUGGAGAGACAGCGAGGACAGGGCAGUCUGUGAUCAGGGCUCCAAGAGCGGUCACACUGAGGCCAUAACGAUAAACAGCUGCUAAAGCUGCAGAGCUGUCAUACUAAGCAGAGGCUUUACUCUUGGCGCUUUCAUCUUUCCCUGGCUGGUGGUGGAGCUCAGCGAGGGACAAGCAGAAGUAGCGGCCGCCAUCAUCACAGUCUGUGCGUCUGUGCAAAAGGGGCAUCUUAUCCCAGAGAUAAAGUUUUGGGACACCAUGAGGUCAUCUCCUUGCUGACAGCCCAGAACGACUGUGCGCCCCAACCCCGACAGCCCAGGGGUGGAGUAAGAGGGAGGCUCGUGGAGAACCUGGUAACCCCUUCUCCCUCCAUCACUGACUGAGGC
rnacentral:lncRNA from 1 species